rnacentral:misc_RNA from 1 species
UGAUAAGUACGGUCAAUGACAGCAGCACCAGCCAUGACCCCAGGCCGGGGCUGGCGAAAAACUGUAGACUGACAGUUGAAUAGAGCGCUGCGCAAAGCAGUAAUAGACCCAGGCCAGUAAUGCUGGUUAGCAGCAUUGAACUUGUCCAGUUCCUCGGUUUUGUCAUGUUAUCGGGUGUCCCCAGGGCUUCGAACCCUGACGCUUGGGAAGACUGAUUGGGAAGGUAAGGCUUAAGAGUUUGUGGAUUGGAGAUGUUGGCUAAUUGCCAACAUUGUUGAGCUGCGGUAACUAUAACCUGCUCAAAGGCUUGGGGUCAACAAUAUGCAGAGAUUUCUUGACUUAACCGGCGGAGAGGAACCAGACGGUGACAAUGUCGGGUGUUUUUACCGUUCGACACGCUUAGCCGCUCGAUCUUCCAGUUGGGCGGAGAGCUCGUCAGGGCUUGUGACCGGCUGGCUGCACGUAAAGUUCUCGCACACAUAGGCGGUCGCUUUUCCUUCCACUUGAACGCGAUUCAUUAACAGCGGGCUGAUGUUGGCAGCGGCGGUGUCGUUGGGCGACGCCAUAACCACGACCUUGUUUGGCAGAUAACGCUGCCAGACCUCGUGCUUCAGUGCGAGGGUCUCAGAAGAUUCAAGAUCCCCAAGUAUCGCAAUUUCCUUUGGUUUCCCCAGGUGAAAAUCCAGCGCGCACAGCAGCCGGCCGAAGCCGGAAGAAUAACGAGCCAGACUCGCGGCAUUCAAACGAAGUAUGGAUAGGGCCAGUCGCUGAUAAUCGGCGUUGUCGGUCAACAGACCCAGGCGCAACAGAACUUCCGCUGCCACUGAGUUGCCUGAAGGUGUUGCAUUGUCAAAAUAAUCCUUAGACCGAACGAUUAAUUGCUCAUGCGACUUGCCGGUGAAGAAGAAUCCACCUUCCUCAUCGUCCCAAAACUCGCUGAUCAUCGUCGUCGUCAAAUCCAAAGCUUCGUGCAACCAUCGCAACUCGCCGGUAGUUUCGAAGAGCGUCAACAAGCCAUCGAUAUAAAACGCAUAGUCUUCGAGAUAAGCGUUCAGCUUGGCUUGGCCGUCUUUGUAGGUUCGUAACAGCAAUCCAUCCUGGCGAAGUUCUUCAAGUAUGAACUCGGCGUUCCUUUUGGCAAUUUCCGUGUAGUCCGGGCGAUUCAGAACGGCUCCGGCUUCCGCAAAACUUGCCAACAUCAAACCAUUCCAUGCCGUCAGCACCUUCUCGUCUCUACCCGGCUUUAUCCUGGCUUCGCGUGUCUCGAAGAGUUUCUGACGACCGCGCGCGAGAGCUUCGUUGAGUUGCUGCUCACUAACGCCAGCAGAGUCGGCAACAUCCAUCACAUCCUUCGUUACGUUCAGAAUGUUUUCGUCUU